AGAUAACAAUGAGAUGGAAUGAAGAACAGGCGUUCUUCAGUUUUUGAGCACAACCAGAAGGUCCUGUCUCACUAUGAAGGGCAUCCUGAAAGUGAGCAGUCAUCAGCAUGGUGAUCAUACGCACACAGAGCUGGACGCUGUGAUGGGAAUCGUCCUCUAUCACGCGCUGUGUGGAGACUGUGGAGGUGUGGAGACAUCACCUUCCUGAGCAGCAAUACUUCCUGGAUUACAUCUUCAGCCAUUUUGGCUCUGACAGUCUCACGCUUCAUGUUCUUAAGCCUCCACGUUCACGAGGACGGACACGAUCACAACCAUGCAGAGGAAAACUUGGACUAUACAAACUGCUGGUGCUUAUUGCAGGCAUCUAUUUCUACUACCUGAUGGAAGGCAUCUUCUCCAUCAUUACCAGCAGAGAAUAUCACCAUAAUCAUGAUGAAAAGUCUGACAUUCAUCACUGUGAUCAGGGAAGAUGUUCCUGCAGAUGUUCCAGCGAGAGAAACAGAACAAACACUCCAACUCACAGGUCGAUCUGCUUCAUUCUCUUGUUCACGUGGACAGUAAAAGACCGUGGCUGAUAUUUCUACUGCAGAAUCUGACUUUUGAGCGGUUGGGGCAUUUUGUUGCUCUUGUCCUUACACUAUAUGAAGACCAAAUAGGGCUGUAAAUAGGGAGCAUUUGUUUUUAUUUGUGCCUUGUUCCUAUAUAUCUGCCGGUGUAACUACUAGAACAUACUAGAUGAAAUAUGUGCAAUUAGUGCAGCCCUAGGCAUUUUCAUAAGGAAUAAUUUUAUUGUUUUAAAAUUACACUUGGAUGAAAAAGCCUGCAGUUUAGGAAUCAACUCUGUGCAAAAUAAAACUUUUGUAAAUUUUCCUAGAUUUAUCCUUUCUCAUUCAUCAAUAAUUCGGUUCACUCAAGAUGAGCUGCAAGGCUUUCAAAGUAGCUAUUGUCUUUUAAUUGAAAUGUUGUAUUUGAUGAGUAAAUACAUACAGGAUAUUUCUGUUCUGUAUAUUUGAAAAAAAUAUAUAUAUAUUUUAAGAUAGCUCAAAACAUAAUAUAUAAUGUUACACUUGAUGUG